GAGGGUAUAGCUCAACCGGUAGAGUGCAUGAUUAUCAUGGACGGGAUCCUGGGUUCAAUCCCCAGUACCUCCA
rnacentral:tRNA from 1 species